rnacentral:lncRNA from 1 species
GACAAGGCGCCCAUCCGAGCCGUCCGGUCCCUUUGUCCUACACCCCACCCUGGAGGUAUGAGGAUCCGCGCAAUGCGGUUCGGAGGCGGCCGCGGCGCCCCAGAGGUGAAAGCGGAGGCGCCAGGACGCCGGUGCCGGCCUCUCAGGAUGCUAGGCGGCCACACACGAGAUGAGGAAACUGAGGCCCAGAGAGAUCACACAGCUACUAAGUCAAGGAGCUGGGACAGGCGUGGGUGCUGAAAAGUGAUUGAUACUGAUAGUAAAAUUGAGGAAGACAUGAUGUUUUUGUAAUUUGAGAAAAAUCACUGAAGAAUAAACUAUAUGAAGUCAUUGAUGCCAAAUUCCCAGCCCCAGCCUUUGCAGCUGCCCCGCCUGGGGUUCGUCUCUAUGGGAAGGAGUCUUUGCCGUGGACAGAGGCCGUGAUGACGAAGGUCAGGCUUAGAGAUCCAGGAAGUUGAGACAUGGAAAGCAGGAGUGGAGCAAGGAGGGUGGCAAAAAUCAUGACAUUUCACACACUCCGCCCCAGUGGAACCCAUCUUCCUCUGCUGUCUAACUGAAGAACUAGCAAUGCCUUCCAAAGCUAAAGGAAACUCCAGCUCCAUGCAACAGAGAUAAAAGAAGCUGAAGGGAGUAGACAAAUAAAAAGCUUUUCCUGAAACAUCAGCCACGUUAACCACAUCCUGCUCUGACAGUAGCCAGCCUGAGAAUGUUUUGGGAAGGGUAGUGUGAACCACGAGGUGAAUUUAAAUCUGUGCAAGGCAGGAACAUAUGGAGCAUCUGAAUCAGUUUACAAACAUUAACUGAGUGCCUAAUAUGUACCAGGCACUUGGUCUACAGUGAUGAUAAAAGUAGACACAACCUUAGCAUGAUUCCUUAACAUGGUUCUUCAAUUCUUUAACAUGCUCACUUCUGGCAGGGGGCAUGUGUGCAUUCACUAGAGGUGAGAGAGUCUAGUCUGGUAGUUUGUUUAGUACUCACUAAUUCUAUA